CUGAACGUCGAGUGGAGCUAUUAUCCUCAGCCAUAGUGGAGCCUGAACGUCGAGUGGAGCUAUUAUCCUCAGCCAUAGUGGAGCCUGAGGUCGAGUGGAGCUAUUAUCCUCAGCCAUAGUGGAGCCUGAGGUCGAGUGGAGCUAUUAUCCUCAGCCAUAGUGGAGCCUGAGGUCGAGUGGAGCUAUUAUCCUCAGCCAUAGUGGAGCCUGAGGUCAAGUGGAGCUAAUGACGGUUUCGCCUAUAUUACACCAUAGGUGCCUGGAAAUACGAU
rnacentral:lncRNA from 13 species